CCUACGGGAGGCAGCAGUAGGGAAUUUUUCACAAUGGGCGAAAGCCUGAUGGAGCAACGCCGCGUGCAGGAUGAAGGCCUUCGGGUUGUAAACUGCUUUUAUACGCGAGAAAUAUGAUGGUAACCUAUGAAUAAGGAUCGGCUAACUACGUGCCAGAAGCCGCGGUCAUACGUAGGAUCCGAGCAUUAUCCGGAGUGACUGGGUGUUAAGAGUUGCGUAGGUGGCAUAAUAAGUAGCUAGUGAACUCUGGUGGCUCAACCCCCAAACUGCUUUUGAAACUGCGUGUCUUGAGUGAUGGAGAGGUAUGCGGAAUGCGCGGUGUAGCGGUGAAAUGCGUAGAUAUUGGGAAGAACCCCAGUGGCGAAGGCGGCCUGCUGGACAUUAACUGACGCUGAGGCGCGAAAGCGUGGGGAGCAAACAGGAUUAGAUACCCCUGUAGUC
rnacentral:rRNA from 1 species